CGGCGGCCCGGUCUGCGGAGGUGGUGAGCGCAGGCGUGGGCCGCGGCCGCGGCGGCGGCUGGGGCGGCGCGGGUGCGACCGCCGUUGGGCCGCCGCGGCCUUCUAGCUCUCCACGCCGGGCUGGGAGACGCCGCGCUCGCGAGGCCAGGGGUCCGGGCCCUUUGCACCAGACCUUUAAGCACGUUGUGUCAAAUCUUUACCACUUGCCACAUGAGUCCCAAAUCAUGACGGACGCCAAGUAUGUCCUCUGCAGAUGGAAAGAGCGAUUAUGGCCUGCAAAGGUUUUGGCCAGAACUGAGAUGUCAACAACUAAGAAAAAAAAGAGAUUUUUUCUAAAUGUUCAAAUACUCUCCUUAGACAAAAAGGUGAGAGUGAAAAGCACAGAAGCCAAGAUUCUGAGGAAGUCCCACAUCGAGGACAUCGCUGCCUUAUUGGCCUCACAGAACAAGGUUUCCGCCAAACCUGUGGAGGAGUUGACCUACAGACGGUCACUUAGAGUGGCUCUGGAUAUUUUGAAUGAGAAAACCCAUUCUCAUCAAGAAAACUCUUCAAGGGAAGAAAGAACUGCUGUGUCUGCAGGAGAGAAGCACAUGGAACUGGCAUCCUCACUCUGUGAUCCCAACCCUUCAUCUCUUCUCCAUGAGGGGGUGUUGGGCAGUUCCGGAUCUGAGAGGAGGCUACGCGGACACCAGAAGCUGUCGGGCUCGUCCGCUAGUGAAAAUGAGAUCAAGUGCCAAAUGGACAACAAGAAGGGGGUUGGGGAAAGUGAAAGCCCACUUAUCCGGGUGGUCUCAGCUGGAGGUGGCUCUCGGGACCGGAGUAGGUCAAGAAUACACCUCAAAAAUGGGACGACCCUGAGUGAAAGGGGAAGGAAUUUGGCACAGGAGCCCAGCAGGUGUCAGAAUGGCUCUUCACUUUCAGUGGGAGAGCAGGAAAGAGAGAGUGAGGAAAAGACGGACAGCCCUGCAGUCCUGAGCUCACCUUCUGCAGCUACGGAGCAGGGUCUGUGUGCCAAAGGUCGCCACUCAGUUUCGCCAUCAGGCAGCCCCACUGGGCACCCAGCCUGCCCGGAUGCUCACGGCCCACCCGACCAUCAGUCUUCUGAAGAGUCAAUGGAGUUUGAUCCUGUUAAUUCCAUCCUGGAGGAGGAUGAGGAGGAGGAGGAGGAGCCCCCAAGAAUCCUUUUAUAUCACGAACCAAGUUCGUUUGAAGUAGGAAUGCUGGUCUGGCUUAAAUACCAGAAGUACCCCUUCUGGCCCGCAGUGGUCAAGAACGUGAAGCGGAGAGAAAAGAAAGCGAGUGUGCUUUUCAUUGAAGGACACAUGGACCCGAAAGGGCGAGGCAUCACAGUGCCUCUCAAGAGGCUGAAGCACUUCGACUGUAAAGAGAAGCAGGCGCUUCUGAAUGAGGCUAAGGAGGACUUCGACCAGGCUAUUGGCUGGUGUGUCUCCCUGAUCACUGAUUACAGGGUCCGGCUCGGCUGUGGUUCCUUCUCUGGCUCUUUCCUGGAAUAUUAUGCAGCGAAUAUAAGCUAUCCUGUCCGCAAGUCCAUCCAGCAGGAUGUCUUGGGGACCCGAUUCCCUCGGCUCUGCCAUGAGGAUCCUGAGAUGCCUCUGGCUGGGAGUCCCUGGGGCAGGAGGCAACCCUGCAGAAAAGUCUUGCCCGAUCGAUCACGAGCUGCCCGGGACCGGGCCAACCAAAAGCUGGUGGAGUACAUCGUGAAGACGAGGGGCGCUGAGAACCACCUGCGGGCCAUCUUGAAGAACAGGAAGCCAUCCAGGUGGCUGCAGACGUUUCUGAACUCGGGGCAGUAUGUGACGUGUGUAGAGACGUACCUGGAAGAUGAGGAACAGCUGGACCUGGUGGUGAAAUACUUGCAAGGGGUCUACCAGGAAACAGGCAGCAGGAUGCUGACGCAGAUCAAUGGUGACCAAAUCCGCUUCAUCCUGGACGUCCUUCUGCCUGAAGCCAUCAUCUGCGCGAUUUCUGCGGUGGACGCGGUAGAUUACAAGACGGCUGAGGAGAAGUACAUCAGAGGACCUUUGCUGAGCUACCGGUAGGCUGCUCAGAGCCUUGCCCCAACCAUUCUACAACGUACCUUCCAAGGCUUGUAUUUGCACACAUGCUAGCAGCUGGGACUGAGGCCCCUCUUCUUGAUCUGUUGGACUAGAUACCCACUCUGGGAAAAAGAAAUAUUUGACAACCAGCUCCUAGAAGAAAGGAACCAGCGAUGCUGAUGGGGAGGCGCCCCCGUGUGUAGUGAGAGUUGCCGGAGGUCCCUGGGCUGUGGCACACGGGCUCUGAAGAUGGAACUGGAGAGAUGUGAACCUCAGAUCUGUCCAUGGGUUUUAUUUUCCUGGCUUUUCAGGGAAGAUACAGUUCCUGAAAGGUUUUUGAAAGGACAAAACUGACUCAUUUUGCAUUAUUUCAUUACUUGCGACUGUACAGAAUAGUUUAAUAUAAGGUACACAUUUGUCUUUUUAUGUUAAAAAGCAUUGUAUCCGAUAUUAAACAGGAGUUGUUGUUUUUUAAA